rnacentral:lncRNA from 1 species
UACUAAGCUCACAAUUUUUCUAGAGCUAAAAGUUAGUAAGAAAGAAAAGUCGAAAAGUGAAAUGGUCAAAGAGUAUGGAGUUACCUUAUCGAUAUUCUGCAUGUUCCUUGAAAAUAAGGACAGAAUAAAAAGAAAAGCAGCCAAAGGAAGUGAAAUCGGUAACAGAAUGAGAGGAGAAAAACAUGCCAACUUAGUAAAUUAAACGCUUGAGUGGUUUUCCCAGGUCAGAGCAAAUAAUAUUUCUGUGUCUGGGUUCUAAUUUGUCUAUUUGUUUGUAGGUAAGGCUGAUAAAAGUGCAUUCUAGAUAGUCUUCAUGGCUGGCAGCUGCACUUCAGCAUUGCUGCAAAAUCAAGCCACAACUCCUAAAAGAAGUAAUCCACAGUUGCUUUGGAACCAGUAACGGCUCAGAUGAACGGCAGGCCAUGUGCUGACUUGUGGGAAUGAGCAGCAAAGAGAAAUGAACGCUCCCAUACUCAAAUUUGAUGGUUUGGUUGGUGUCGGUAACAUUCGUUCCCUCAGCUGAUGAUGAAUUUUAAACCAGAACAGACACGAGCAUUUCUAUUCAGAACAGAACAGUGUGGUUCUGCUAUGAGCAUGGAAGAGCAGGAAGACAAGUUGCCCAAGUCCAAACAUCCCAGGAGAAUAGAAGCAUAAAUGGCACCUGACAGUCAGUGAUCCUCUGCAAUAAUGGGAGUGAUUUUGUUUCCAAAGCAACUGAGUCACUAAAUUUGUUAACAACGAAAGAACACAUCAGGAUUGAGUCCUAUGUUAAGCAGAAAGUAAAAUCAGGGUCUUUCAGAUAUGACUAGAGUUCCCUGUAAUCUGUGCCUUCUUCAGCUUAACAAACAUAUCAGAGCACCUCUGAGACUGGUUUGUAAUCCAGGCUGUCUCACCAGCUUUGUAAUCUUUGGCAAGGCCGGUGGAUUCCUCAUCUGUGCAAUUAGGAGACUGGGUGAGGUGAUUUCCAGACCUCGGUGCUGUCAUUUCAGGCCUCAUAGCUCGCAGGAGCUGAAAUGGUAAUUGAAACCUUUUUAAACUCAAAACUAUCUAAAUCAUGAAUUACAGAGAGAGACUCCAUUCUUCUUCGGUAACUAGAUGUUACCACACUUCUGAGAUUGAAAAUUAUAAAGUCAACGAUUUAAAGGAUUCUGCAUAUACUUUAGUGUGCACAUUUAGAAGCAUUUUUCUUAGAAAGCACUCAACGUUUUUUAUAAC